rnacentral:rRNA from 1 species
AUGGAAGGUCUCACUGGAGUUUGUGCGUUUGAUUUGAUUUGUAGGUUGGCCGGGAAGGUGGCCGUGAUCACCGGCGGCGCCAGCGGCCUCGGCAAGGCGACUGCCGCGGAGUUCGUCCGGAACGGCGCCAAGGUCAUCCUCGCCGACGUCCAGGACGACCUCGGCCACGCCGCCGCCGCCGAGUUCGGCCAUGACUCCGCAUGCUACACGCGCUGCGACGUGACGGACGAGGCGCAGGUCGCCGCGGCCGUGGACCUAGCCGUGGCGCGGCACGGCCGCCUCGACGUCAUGUUCAACAACGCCGGCAUCAGCGGCGCCCUCACGCCCGUGCCCCUCGGCUCCCUGGACCUCGCCGACUUCGACCGCGUCAUGGCGGUCAAUGCGCGGGCCGUGCUCGCGGGCGUCAAGCACGCCGCGCGCGUCAUGGUCCCCAACCGCCGCGGGAGCAUCAUCUGCACGGCCAGCACGGCGGCGGUGCUGGGAGGCGUGGCGUUCCCGGCGUACAGCGUGUCGAAGGCGGCCGUGGUGGGGCUCGUGCGCGCCGUGGCCGGGGAGAUGGCGCGCGCCGGGGUGCGCGUGAACGCCAUCUCGCCUAACUACAUCCCGACGCCGAUGGUCAUGGGGUACAUGGCCGAGUCCUACCCCGGGGCGAGCGCCGAGGAGCGCAGGCGGAUCGUGGAGCGGGACAUGAACGAGAUGGGCGGGCCGGCGCUCGCGGUGGAGGACGUGGCCCGUGCGGCGGUGUACCUGGCGUCCGACGAGGCAGGGUACGUGAACGGGCAUAACCUCGUCGUUGACGGCGGGUUCACCGUCGGCAAGACGCCGAAAAUGCCGGCGCCGUGA